CGUGGGUAACCCUGCCCUUAAGUCUGGGAUACCAUUUGGAAACAGAUGCUAAUACCGGAUAAAAAGCACUUUCGCAUGAAAGAAGUUUAAAAAAGGCGGCGUAAGCUGUCGCUAUGGGAUGGCCCCGCGGUGCAUUAGCUAGUUGGUAAGGUAAAGGCUUACCAAGGCGAUGAUGCAUAGCCGAGUUGAGAGACUGAUCGGCCACAUUGGGACUGAGACACGGCCCAAACUCCUACGGGAGGCAGCAGUAGGGAAUCUUCCACAAUGGACGCAAGUCUGAUGGAGCAACGCCGCGUGAGUGAAGAAGGUUUUCGGAUCGUAAAGCUCUGUUGUUGGUGAAGAAGGAUAGAGGUAGUAACUGGCCUUUAUUUGACGGUAAUCAACCAGAAAGUCACGGGCUAACUACGUGCCAGCAGCCGCGGUAAAU
rnacentral:rRNA from 1 species